UGCGGACAGCCCAGCUCUGCUGCCGUCCUCCUCGGGCCUCGCUUCCUUCGCGGCGGGCGCCGGCGGAGCCUGGGCGUGGACGGCCGGCGGCGGGCGAGGACGCUGCUGCCUUGGUCCUGCGGCGCUGGGCGCGGGGCGCGGGGCGCGGUUGCCGGGUCCCGGGAGCUGCUCCGGGCCCAGAGACGCGCGGCCCGGCCCGCGUUUCCGGCUCUUGUGCUUUUCUGUCGGAAGCGCUCGGUGCAUAACUCCGCCAAGCCGGCUAUCAAGGGCACCGCGGACACCGCGCCCGCUGGAACUCACUGGGGUCUCCUGGGCUUCCGAGGCCCAAGUCCGUCUCUGCGAAAGGCUGAUCGCAGAGCGCGAAACACUAGGGUUAACUUUAGAAUGGAGGUGUCAGGAGGGACGGGGCAGGGCACUUGCUGGGAAGAAGCCUGGUUUGUGGUGGUUUGGUUUUCUAGCAGUGAAACAGGACGAGUCGGUUCUCAGCGAGAGAGGAGCCAGUGUGUGUCAGUGUGGACCGUGUGGGUCCUGGAGUCGGACCGGACGCGGGGUCGCACGGUGGCUUCACUGCUUCGGCAGCUCGGUGACCUUGGUUCGUCCUUGUUUUCUUAGCUAUACAAAGGCGUCGUCCCGCUUGAGUUCAGUCGAAGGUGCUACGGUGGCCCGUGUACUGCUGGGUCCCCUGACACUGGAUGACAGUAGUGACAGAUUAGAAAUGGAUUUGAACAACCCUUGCUCUGGCGGAGUUGUUACUUUUCACGUAAAGGGAACAUUAAGACACAGUGUAAGCUUGGCGUGGUGGUGCACGCCUGUAAUCCCAGCACUCAGGAGGAUCGGAGGAUCGCUGCGAGUUCGAGGCCAAACCUGGGCUACCUAGUAAGUUCAAGGCCACCCUGAACUACAUAGGGAGCCACGAUUUAAAUUAGAUCUGAAUGGAGCCAUCUAAUCUGGUUUGAAGAUGGAGUAAGAUUUUUCCUGAAAACAAUACUAACAGAAGGGAUCAGGGGAUUCUAGGUGACAGGACAAUAUGAAAAAACAUGGUGCCAGGAAGAAGGUUGGUGUGUAUGAGCCGCCAGCUCUCCUGCUCGAGGUAGAAGGGGCAGGAGUGUGUCCUACUGAAGAAUCUCGCUUUAUCUUAAUUUGAGGCAGUGAGGAGUCAGCAAAAGGUUGUAGAAGAGGCAUAGGAUCAGGUUUCCAUUUGGGAUAGAUGACUGGGUAGGACCAAGGGCAGAGUGGGUUUGGUUGGAGGCAGAAGCAGGGAGGGCGUGGAAAGAGGCUCGUGCAAAACCCUGGAUGAGAGAUGUUGGUCGCACCUUGUGUAGUGAUACAGGAAAGGGAGAAAUAAGCACCCGGAUUUGUUUCGUUUUUUGAGGUAAAAGGUAUACAUUGAGAAGCAGUUUUAACUAAUACAAGAAAAUUUUUAUAAAUAGCUAUGUGACCAAUUAAAUAUUUGACAAGUGUGUUUCUUUUUUUUAACCGCACAAUAUAUUGUAGGAAAAAUAAUAAGAGCAAAUAAAAUAAGCUCAAAAAAUAAAAUCCAUAAUCUAUUUUGAUUCCAAGUUCCUUUUUUUUUUUUUUUACAAAAAUCAGGAGGUAUUAUACAUUUUUGUAGCCUGCUUUUCCCCAUAAUAACAUUCUGAUCAGCUUAUCAGUAAAGGUUUCUGUACUGUCAUUUUAUUUUUUUUUAUUUUUUAUUUUUUUAUUUUUAUUUUUAUUUUUGGUACCGGGGAUUGAACUCAGGUGUCCUUGCGCUUGCGAGGCAGGCACCGGAACCACUGAGCUAAAUCCCCAGCCCUGUACUGUCAUUUUGAUGCUGCAUAGCAUUGCUACGUGAGGAUGCCCUGUGUUUACAUGACCAGGCCCACCUAACCUUUCAUUAAUUGUGGGAGAUCAGAAUGGGCCCAGAAAAAUCAGGAAAAACCAUGAAUAAGCUAUAAUUUUGAAAGUUCUUACCAAAGAGAGAUUUUGACCAUGUACAUUUUCAAAGAAAUUGCCUAGUCUAUUACAGUAAUUUCUGCAUUAUUGGCUACCUCCAAGUCCUUCCAACCAAAGAUUUCAACGCCAAGUUUUAAAAAUGCCUAGGGCUGUGAGUGUAGAUUACUAUCUGCCAUUUGCAAAGCCAUGGUUUCAAGCCCCAGCACUGCCAAGAAAAGGAAAAGAAAAGCAAAUAAAGCCCAGAACUUAGUACUAUCAAUUGUGACCUUGAGCCCCCCUUUUUUCCUUCCUGUAAAGUGGUUUAAAACCUUAUAAUAACUGUAAUAUAACUGUAAUAAUAGCUGUAAUAACUGACUAAAAACUAUGGAUAAUGGAGCAAUAGAUUUAGGCUGGGCAUAUUCCUUCCUUUCCUUUGUAAUUGUCCAUGGUUUUCUGUAUUGUUGAUACCACUUUGCAACUCCUCACUGCCUCAUUCCCAAGCUACUGCAUUUAGUUUGGUAGCUGAAAGGGUUGUGGUGGGAUUUUCACGUGUCAGUAUGUUUUCUCCGUCAUCGGAGAUAUUUUUCCUUGUAUCCUUAACCAUAGUUAUAGAUGUCUUGAAAUUGUCCAAUGAUCGGCAUUUCCCCCCCCCAUUGAAAAUGGUUUAUGCGCCAUGCUGGAUAAUUUUGCAUUGUAUCUUGGAGAUCCUGAAUGUUUUCUUCUUUCAAAGCCUAGCCUAAUAUAUUGUUACAGUUGCUAUCUGCCUCCCUUGUUUUAGUUCCCUGGGGCUCUUACCUAUACCUAUUUUGACAUUUCUUUUCAUGGCUCUCCCACUUUUCCUUGGUGGUGGUUGUCUUGCUUCUGGGCAGCGUAAACCACUGGCAGUACAUGUGGGACUGUCCCACUGAGUGGCUUUUUAUUAAUUUUAUUAGUAAAAAGACCAAUAAAAGAGGUUAGAUCCGUUUGUAGCACAGUGAAUGGUACGGGGCGGGGGUCAGACCUGCAGGUACUGUGUGUUCACACUGGUAAGGGUGUUAGGGCUGUAUGUUUUCUUUCAGUUUUAGCUCCCCAGCCUGAGACAGAUGCCUGCCUUCAGGUUAAAAGAUCUAGAGAAAAAACAAAAACAAACCUCACUGGCUGCUUCUGGACAGUUUCCUCCUGUGUCUGCUUGCUUUUGGUUGUUCUCCAGAAGGUUGUUUUUUUGCUUUUAAAUAUUUCCCCAAAGUUUGUCAUUCCUUUUCAUUGGUUUUGCUUGAUAAUAUCUACUCGGCCAUGCAAGGAGUAUGUCACCUUCAGUGAUGGCAUUUUCUUUCUAGUUUUUAACAUUUUGUGGGAUGAAAUGUUUUCCCGUUAGAUCAAAGAUUCUUAAACCUAUUUUGCAACAUCUCAAAGGAUGUUCAUUUUGGCUCAAAAACUCAGAAGAAAUUAUCUUUCUCAAUGUAGAAAAAAGCCCAAAACAUUGUGUACAUUGUAUACCACUGUAUCCUUGCCUAAGGUGGUGUUACAUUCAGAUGAACCCAUCCUAGGUUGAAAAUUUAAGUGGAAACCUAUUGAACACCAUAGCUUAGCAACACAGGACCUUGUAGAGUAUUGGUUGUUGCCUCUCGAGACUGAAUGGCUGUGUUUGCUUGAAAGUCCUGUUGCUGUUUUGUUUUUAAAUCUUCCUCUCUGAAGUUGCUCAAGAGCACUAAGGGAAAUUGCCAUAAGUCUAAAUUUGAUAGAUGCCACAAUAGAAGGGUGUGGCAGUUUGACCAGAGACUGGAGUGAGUGAAAGAGAUGAAGGCUCAGGGUUGUGGAGGGAGAAGAGGGGCCGUUAAACUGGUCAUGGUGGAUGAGUGGGAGCCGUGUUCCGGUAUAGGCAGGGAGAGUGAAUGCCUGGUAGGGUAGAGAAGGAAUGGCCAGCGUGGAAAGGGAGGUGGAGAAGGUUCCUAAAGGCCUUGGCAUAUGUCGUACCACGGGGCCCAGGUUCUGUUCUGUAAGUAGCAUUUUAUGUAGGUGGAUAAUAUAACCAGGUUGAGUACAGUACUGCCAUCUUGCCCACUGUAAUUUUAGUACAGAAUUUCCAAGCUUGCUAGCAAGUAAAGACAGGGAAACGUAACCCUAAAAUGACUUCUCUGCACAAGGAAAGGUUACCUUGUGGAUCAGUAUAAUAGGCCUCCUCAUUUGAACAAGUACUUGACACAUCUGCAGAUUAUUUCUGGUAGAGAAGUAACUGGGAUUAAAUUGCAGAAUUUUGUAGUUAAUGAUGGUGAGCAGAAAACUUUUAAUUUUAUCACAGUAGUAAAAGUUUGCAAUCUUGAGGGAGGAAGUCAGGAAAUUCUGCUUAUAAGUUAAGGUUCUGAGCCAUGAUUUACAACAUAGAAAAGUGAUCUUACCAUUAGCAGCAUCAGUUUAGUGUGCUGUUACAGUAAAAUCCAGACAGAAUACUUGAAAAUGGUAAAUAGACUAUUGGAAAUAGAACAUAUCCUUUGCUUUAUUUUAAUUACUGUAUAAUACACACCGAGUACUGCACAGGUUUUAGUCCUUCACCUCCAGAAUAGCAUAACGAAGGUGGAAAAUGCCCAGAAGAUGGUAACUAAAAUCCAGUGAGGGCUUUAGCUUCUAUGAGGAUAGACUGCCCGACAAGUGAAGGUGGGCUUGAUGUAUACAUGUUAGAGAUGGUCUAAAAGAUAGCUAGCCCUUUUCUCAGUGGGCUGCCAAUAAAGAAAAAGGGUGUUUUUCAGUUGCCUGACUCUGGUCUUGUCUUUCUCAUGAGGUUACUGAUUCUGUCAGUUUUGUCUGGCAGCUUCCUUGGCCCUUAAAUUCUCCCUGCAAGAUGUACCCUUUUAUUUAUUUUAUUUAUUUAUUUUUUGGUACCAGGGAUUGAACUCGGGUCCUUGCGCUUGCGCAGCAGGCGGCGAAACCACUAAGCUAAAUCCCCAGCCCCCCUUUUAUAAUGCAAACUGUACUGGACCAAAGUGUGAGCUGAGCUGGAUGGAUCCUCAAGAAACCCGAAUUGGGCCUAGAGCAACUUAGUGAGACCAAGUCUCAAAAUUAACAAUAAAAAGGCUGGAGAUAUAUCUCAGUGUGCAGAGGCCCUGGGUUCACUUCUCCAUAUGAGAGAGAGACAGACAGAGACUUUUGAUUUCUAAUCUGUCUUCCUAUAUGUGGAUGUGAGAUGUCUGAUGUCCUAAAAUCAUUCCAUUAAGGUGAUAGCCUUUGUUUUUUUUGCGGGGGGGUACUGGGGAUCGAAUUCGGGUCCUUGUGCUUACAAGGCAGGCAGCAGAACCUCUGCGCUAAAUCUCCGGCCCUAAGGUGAUAGCCUUUGAAGUCAUGACCGAAGACAGUGAUGGUCAGCCUUUUAGAGCUUUCAGUGAUACAAACAGCCUGCUGCAGCAUGUGGGCCACACGUUUGCCACCACUGACCUAGGAUUUAAUGUGAAUUCUGCUACUAAUUAGUGAUGUAACUUGAAGAUGUUUUCAUAAGUUCAAUCUUUAAUUUCUCGAAAUGUUACCCUGUAGAAAAUUUUAAGAAUUAAGUAAUAUAGGAAAAGCUUAGCGUCUGACACACUGCAGCUAAUGACAGGUAACACUGGUACAGUGCUUCCUUCCCAUGCGCCAAGCAGUGAAUUAAACACUUUCCAUGAAAUGCUUUUCAUCCUUUCACCAGCUCUGCAAAAGAGUACUGUUACUCAGGUUAUACAGAUGGGGAAACUGACUCUGGAGCUGGUUUUAUCCCAUUUGGUGGAUUCUCUCUCCACAUUUAGUAUGUUUAUGAACAUUACCAAUUAGAUACAUCCCAAUUUAAGAGGUGUUAGAAUGUGGAAAAACAUUUUUUUUUAGAAACAGUGGUUUUACUGGUGCACGUUUAAUGCUAGUCUUUCAACCACAACUCAGCAGGAGAGUAAGAUUAGUUUGGUGACAUUAGACAGGAUGUUUUGGAUUGAGAAGGGUCAGCUGAAGACAAAGUAAUGCACAGACAUGAAAUAAUGCCUGAAGCAGUGUGACAGGAAAAACUAAACACUGUUCGUUGUUACAAACUUAAAUCUUUUAUAUAAACAUGCUGCAAAAAACAGUAAGCAAGAAUAUGUAAUAGUAGGGCUGGGUGUGGAAUCUCACAUCUGUAAUCCCAGCACUUGGGAGGUUGAGACAGGAGGAUCACCUAGAGUUCGAGGCCAGCCUAGGUUAUAUAAGAGUUAAGGCCAACCUGAAUUACAUAGUGAGAAUUUAUCUCAAAAAACCACACAUACACACACUGAGUAAUUGUAAACAGGACAGAUUCUAGAGCAGGCCCCCAAGGAUAUAUGCUAGAUGUAUCACCAAGAAAAGAGAGCUUGGUUCUCCUCCCUAGGCAAUCUCUGUUGCUGGUUUUUUAUAUCGUUAUUAAUACACAUAUUUUGAUGGAAAAAUCAGAACAUGGAAGCUGGCAUAUUUCUGGAUUUUACUGACUUUCUCGUUAAGCCAUGUGCAGGGACUGAGAUUUUGCUCCAUCUGUAGGUUAGCCAGCCAACCUGCCAGAACUUCCUGGGUGGGGCCAGGGACGUCGGGGCAGAGACUUCACUCCCCGGCCCCUGACACUCAACCCCACAGGCAGGUGAGACCUGGAGCCGAAGCCUAGGUGGGUGCUGUGGACCCCAAAGUUGUCCGCUUUUGGCUGGGGUACUCUGCAGAAACCCCCGAAAGAUGGCGUAGAGUAAGAGCGCCAGUCACGCCUCUGCUCAAACACGUGCUUAAGUCGGGAUCAGCACUUUGGUCUCCUUUCCACUCCUUAAGUGAAAGGGAAGUUAUGUGAAUUUCAGAAACUAGGAAGUAGAUGUUAUUUUUCAAUCAUCUAAAUUACAAUUUCACCAGAAAUAUUCAUAGCCUUAUGUGGAUAUAAAUAAAACAUAAUUAUGUGCAAAUGCAAGAAACUCAGUAAUCUGUUCUGAUGGUGACUCCUUGUUAAAGCCAGCUAUAAAGCACAGUUUUUACUUGUUUAUUUGGCUGGAUUUUUUUUUUUGGUACCGGGGAUCAAACUCGAGUCCUUGCACUUACGAGGCAGAUGAUGGAACCACUGAGCUAAAUCCUCAGCCCUGGUUGGUUUUUUUUUUUUGAGACAAGAUCUCGCUAUUAGUUCACUGGCUUUGAAUUUACUAUGUGGCCCAGGCUGGCCUCAAACUCACAGCAAUCCUCCUGCCUCAGCCUCCCAAGUGCUGGAAUUACAGCCAUACACCACCACGCCCGGCUAAAGCACAAUUUUAAAAAAAAUUUGUCCAGUUUUUGAAAAGCAGUUUGAGUGUUUUCUAGUUACUAAAUGUUUAUCCCGUGUCAGCUAAUAAUGCUUUAGCAGGUUCUGUAGUGCCUUCAAAGAAACUUCUACCUAAAUUCAAAACAGUCCAAUAAGAAAAAAAAGUCCCUGUUUCAUAGGUACAAAAAUUGAAGCUUAAAAAUAUUAAGCGACUUGUGCAGGGCCACAAAGUAAGUGGGAAUGGUGGAGGCAGAAACAGACUGGGAGGACUCGCUUAGAACUUAGCUGCUCCCCUGUGUCUGAGGUUACAGGUCAGCAAGCAAGCACCUCCAGCACAGACAGUACACGGCUGCCUGGGCCUUAAAGACGUCUUCCGAGGGGCCUCCAGAGCCCACAUUUUCAGCUGAAGUACGUGACACAUCCUGGAUUACUGAGAAAGGGAUCAAAUGUUGAUUCAAAACCCAAGCUCUCUUAAGAAAUUGUUGGUAUUUAAUUUGAUAUACAGGGAGAUGAUGUUUUGUUUCAUAUCCAGGGAAUGUUUUAUUUUAAGUGAGUUUUUUUAGGUUUGUAUAUCCUUGCUAAAUAGGAAGUUCAAAAAAUAGA